rnacentral:rRNA from 1 species
GAACGUCCUCCCUUUCUUUCAGAGAGAGGGAGGGAGUGGCGGACGGGUGAGCAACACAUGGGUGACCUACCCCGCAGUGAGGGAUACCGGCGAGAAACCGCCGACAAGCCCGCAUAGGCUCUCUUUCGUGGGAGGGAGAGAGCAAAGCUUCUUGUCGCAAGAGGCGCUGAGGGAUGGGCCUGUGGCCGAUUAGCUGGUUGGUGGGGUAAGAGCCUACCAAGGCGACGAUCGGUAGCUGGUCUGAGAGGACGAGCAGCCACACUGGGAUUGAGAACGGCCCAGACUCCUACGGGGGGCAGCAGUGAGGAAUUUUCCGCAAUGGAGGCAACUCUGACGGAGCAACGCCGCGUGCAGGAGGACGCGUUUCGGCGUGUAAACUGCUCUGCUGUGGGACGAGUGAGGACGGUACCACAGGAAUAAGCCCCGGCUAACUACGUGCCAGCAGCCGCGGUAAU